CUAUGCUGAGUUGGCCUGACUCCAGCCCCAGUACUGCCUCUACUCUGCCUUCAUGGGUGCUUCGUGUAUUUCUUCCUGGGCACCUCCCGGGGUGUGACUCUGGGCCCCACGGCCAUCAUGUCCCUCCUGGUCUCCUUCUGCACCUUCCGUGAGCCCGCCUGUGCUGUGCUGCUGGCCUUCCUGUGGGGCUGCAUGCAGUUAGCCAUGGGCUCCUGCGCUUGGGGUUCCUGCUGGACUUCAUCUCCUGCCCCGUCAGCCAUUAAAGGUUUCACCUCUGCUGCUGCCGUCACCAUGGGCUUCGGGCAGAUGAAGGUAGGCUCGCUAGUGGGCACCGGGUCACCUGCAGGGUAGUAGGACCAAGGCCGGGUCCUGAUAUGUGCGGGCCAGUUGACGUCUUGCUGUUCCAGAGCUCAAAGCACAUGGUGCUCACAUGGGUCCAUGAAUAAAAUGACCCCUGCGGGGA